CUUGCUGUAAAUUUACAAGAAAUCAGUGUAACAUUUUCUUGUUCUCAGUACUUUCAAUGUUCCCAGUACUUUCAUUCUUACAAACAUGAUUUUUUCUUUUCUCAGGACUCAAGCAAGAAGGAGUCACCAUCUUCCAAUGAAGAGGGCCAGCGGGCAGCCGCCGGUGCCGCCGGCGCCCCGCCGCCCACCGCUCUCAGCAAGGUGCCCUACGGCGCCAGCCCCAUGAUGCGCAAGGACCGCCGCCAGAGCUCCUCCCGCUUCAACCUGCCCAGGAACCGGGAGCUCGAGAAGCUGCCCAGCUUCAAAGAGGUGGCCGCCAGCGAACGGGAGGAGCUCUUCAUCCAGAAGAUCCGACAAUGCUGCGUGCUGUUCGACUUCAUCUCGGACCCGCUGUCCGACCUCAAAUGGAAGGAGGUGAAACGGCUGGCGCUGCAGGAGAUGAUCGAGCACGUGUCCUCACAGCGCGGAGUCAUCACCGAGAACAUCUACCCAGAGGUGGUACAGAUGGUGUCUGUGAACCUGUUUCGCACGCUGCCGCCGUCCUCCAACCCCUCGGGCGCCGAGUUUGACCCGGAGGAGGACGAGCCCACCCUAGAGGCCGCCUGGCCGCACCUGCAACUCGUCUACGAGUUCCUGCUGCGCUUCCUCGAGUCGGUCGACUUCCAGCCCAAUGUGGCCAAACGCUACAUUGAUCAGAAGUUUGUACUGCAGCUGCUGGACUCGUUCGAUUCGGAGGACCCCCGAGAGAGGGACUUUCUGAAGACGACACUACAUCGCAUCUACGGAAAGUUUUUGGGCCUGCGCGCCUACAUCCGUAAACAGAUUAACAACAUUUUCUAUAGGUUUAUAUAUGAAACGGAGCACCAUAACGGCGUGGCCGAACUGCUGGAGAUCCUGGGCAGCAUCAUCAACGGCUUCGCGCUGCCGCUGAAGGAGGAGCACAAGUCGUUCCUACUGAAGGUGCUGAUGCCGCUGCACAAGGUCAAGUCGCUCUCUGUCUACCAUCCGCAGCUGGCCUACUGCGUAGUCCAGUUUCUGGAGAAGGACCCGUCGUUGACGGAGCCGGUGAUACUGGCGCUGCUCAAGUACUGGCCCAAGACGCACAGUCCCAAGGAGGUGAUGUUCCUGAACGAACUGGAGGAGAUCCUGGACGUGAUGGAGCCGGCCGAGUUCCAGCGCGUCAUCAAGCCGCUGUUCCAGCAGAUUGCCAGCUGCGUGGCCUCGCCGCACUUCCAGGUGGCGGAGCGGGCGCUCUACUACUGGAACAACGAGUACAUCAUGUCACUGAUGACGGAGAACGCCACCGUCAUCCUGCCAAUCAUGUUCCCGGUGCUCUACAAAAACUCAAAGUCCCACUGGAACAAGACAAUUCAUGGUCUCAUCUACAACGCGCUGAAGCUGUUUAUGGAGAUGAACCAGAAGCUCUUCGACGAUUGCACGCAGCAAAGCAAGCUAGAAAAACAAAAGGAGCGCGAGCGCCAGCGGAUGCACGAGGAGGCGUGGCGCAAGGUGGAAGAGUUGGCCGUGCGCAGCCCGCACUACCCGGCGUUCGCUGACGGAGCGGGCGGCGCGCCUUCAGAUGGGGCCGACGGCGUCGACGGGGAGCAGGAGGACGACGACGGCCCCAUCGACCCGGAGAAGAUCAAAGUAGAGGCGAAACAGGUGCUUGGUCAACGCGGCCUGACGUGGAACACCAUCUUUGAUAUCAUUUUCUCCAGGACAACGUACCUCGUCUCCUCGCCCUUGCCCGUCUCUGACGGGCGCUGAUGUCUUGUCCUGCUAACACCGCAACUCAAAAUCCGCAGGAGAGUGUCCCUCGGCGGCCGAGAGCUCCAUCCAGCCAUCUAUCCUUGGUCCGAUGAUACCUGCCCGCCGUCCUGCGUCCGGAUUAAUCUCUCCCUAACAGGGCUUGGCCAAGGCACCUCAGGGCAAGCCCAAGCCGCUGCUGCGGAAAAAGUCUGAGCUGCCGCAGGACCUGCACACCCAGAAGGCGCUCAACGAGCACAAACGUCCCGACCAGUACCUCACGUCGAGCCCCGAGCUGAAGAACUCCAGCUAGGUCGCCACGCUGCCGCCGCCGCCGCUGUCGCCGCCCGCAGUCCGCGUCUCUCCCCGCUCGCCUCCUAUGUGUGCCCCUGCCGCCGCCGGCCGUCCCUGCCCGCCUGCCAGCGCGCCGGGCCCGCCGCCAGCCGUGUAGGACUAGCCGCCGGCGCUGCUGUUGGACGCCCCAUAAUGUGCGCGCGCGAGCCUGUGUGUGUGAGGAAGAGAGUGGUCUGCACGUGCGAGCGAACUGGCGAGGCGCGCACCGCCCGGCGGCCGCCCCUUCACGCCCUCCGCCCGGCUGUCCGUGGCGCACACACAUUCCUCGCGGCAGUGGACCGGAGCGGUCGACACUGGCGCCAAUACGCUUCCCGGACGCGCGGCGCCGUCGGCCCCUCUGUGUGCACGUGUGGGUGGCGCACGUGAGCCUGUGUCCUGCGCGCACCCGCAGGAGAUAGAAUGUGAGGAUGGCGGUGGCGGAGCCGCCCCUGGGGCGUCUGCCGUGCUCCACUGCCGCGCGCCGGACGAACAAAGUCGCGCGCGACCCGCUCCCGACGGAAACAAAUCAAUUAACUGCGCCGCCGCCUUGGACGCCGGAGCCGCCGCGGCCGGGUAUUUUAUCAUCUGUUGUCGAGUGUCAAUGGAGUAUGUUUUAGAGGGCAGCUUUGCUGGACUGGUGUAACUAUGCGGACAUUUUUGUGCAAUAGGCGGCAAAAAUGUGGUGCCGAGUUUACACGACCUCGCGGCCCCGCGUUCGUUUUUAAAACGUGACAGUAUUGUUGGCUGAGUGUUUCGCGAAAGCUCGAUGUCGUUGCGUCGGCCGCCGGUCAGCGUGAAGAUCUUAUUCGUAGUUAGCUGUAACGCCUGAGUUACCAGCUAGUUGAGUUUUAACAAGCUAUAUUUCUGAUUUGUGCAUAAUUUUCUGUUGCCGCCCGAGAUGCUGUAGUAUCUUUAAAUUGCGUUGCUUAACUGUAUGUCGGUGUGUGUUCACACUGUUGAAAUGUGCUUGUUGAAUGGUGGGGUGAAUACCAACUGAUGGACACGGGAA